AUUGAACGCUAGCGGGAUGCCUUACACAUGCAAGUCGAACGGAGUGGCGAACGGGUGAGUAAUGUAUCGGAACGUGCCCAGUAGCGGGGGAUAACUACGCGAAAGCGUAGCUAAUACCGCAUACUAUUGGAGCGGCCGAUAUCGGAUGAGCUAGGUGGGGGGGUAACGGCUAACCUAGGUGACGAUCCGUAGGUUGUUUGAGAGGACGACCAGCCACACUGGGACUGAGACACGGCCCAGACUCCGCCGGGAGGCAGCAGUGGGGAAUUUUGGCCAAUGGUGGAAACCCUGAGCCAGCCAUCCCGCGUGUGCGAUGAAGGCCUUCGGGUUGUAAAGCACUUUUGGCAGGAAAGCGGUACCUGCAGAAUAAGCACCGGCUAACUACGUGCCAGCAGCCGCGGUAAUAC
rnacentral:rRNA from 1 species